UGCGAUAAGCGCCGGUAAGGUGAUAUGAACCGUUAUAACCGGCGAUACCCGAAUGGGGAAACCCAGUGUGACUCGUCACACUAUCAUUAACUGAAUCCAUAGGUUAAUGAGGCGAACCGGGGGAACUGAAACAUCUAAGUACCCCGAGGAAAAGAAAUCAACCGAGAUUCCCCCAGUAGCGGCGAGCGAACGGGGAGGAGCCCAGAGCCUGAAUCAGCAUGUGUGUUAGUGGAAGCGUCUGGAAAGGCGCGCGAUACAGGGUGACAGCCCCGUACACAAAAGCGCAUGUGCUGUGAGCUCGAUGAGUAGGGCGGGACACGUGGUAUCCUGUCUGAAUAUGGGGGGACCAUCCUCCAAGGCUAAAUACUCCUGACUGACCGAUAGUGAACCAGUACCGUGAGGGAAAGGCGAAAAGAACCCCGGCGAGGGGAGUGAAAAAGAACCUGAAACCGUGUACGUACAAGCAGUGGGAGCACCCUUUGGGGUGUGACUGCGUACCUUUUGUAUAAUGGGUCAGCGACUUAUAUUCUGUAGCAAGGUUAACCGUAUAGGGGAGCCGGAGGGAAACCGAGUCUUAACCGGGCGUUAAGUUGCAGGGUAUAGACCCGAAACCCGGUGAUCUAGCCAUGGGCAGGUUGAAGGUUGGGUAACACUAACUGGAGGACCGAACCGACUAAUGUUGAAAAAUUAGCGGAUGACCUGUGGCUGGGGGUGAAAGGCCAAUCAAACCGGGAGAUAGCUGGUUCUCCCCGAAAGCUAUUUAGGUAGCGCCUCGUGAAUUCAUCUCCGGGGGUAGAGCACUGUUUCGGCUAGGGGGCCAUCCCGGCUUACCAACCCGAUGCAAACUGCGAAUACCGGAGAAUGUUAUCACGGGAGACACACGGCGGGUGCUAACGUCCGUCGUGAAGAGGGAAACAACCCAGACCGCCAGCUAAGGUCCCAAAGUCAUGGUUAAGUGGGAAACGAUGUGGGAAGGCCCAGACAGCCAGGAUGUUGGCUUAGAAGCAGCCAUCAUUUAAAGAAAGCGUAAUAGCUCACUGGUCGAGUCGGCCUGCGCGGAAGAUGUAACGGGGCUAAACCAUGCACCGAAGCUGCGGCAGCGACGCUGAUGCGUUGUUGGGUAGGGGAGCGUUCUGUAAGCCUGCGAAGGUGGCCUGUGAGGGUUGCUGGAGGUAUCAGAAGUGCGAAUGCUGACAUAAGUAACGAUAAAGCGGGUGAAAAGCCCGCUCGCCGGAAGACCAAGGGUUCCUGUCCAACGUUAAUCGGGGCAGGGUGAGUCGACCCCUAAGGCGAGGCCGAAAGGCGUAGUCGAUGGGAAACGGGUUAAUAUUCCCGUACUUGGUGUUACUGCGAAGGGGGGACGGAGAAGGCUAUGUUGGCCGGGCGACGGUUGUCCCGGUUUAAGCGUGUAGGUGUGUGUUCCAGGUAAAUCCGGUUCACUUUAACACUGAGGCGUGAUGACGAGGCACUACGGUGCUGAAGCAACAAAUGCCCUGCUUCCAGGAAAAGCCUCUAAGCAUCAGGUAACAUCAAAUCGUACCCCAAACCGACACAGGUGGUCAGGUAGAGAAUACCAAGGCGCUUGAGAGAACUCGGGUGAAGGAACUAGGCAAAAUGGUGCCGUAACUUCGGGAGAAGGCACGCUGACACGUAGGUGAAGUGAUUUACUCAUGGAGCUGAAGUCAGUCGAAGAUACCAGCUGGCUGCAACUGUUUAUUAAAAACACAGCACUGUGCAAACACGAAAGUGGACGUAUACGGUGUGACGCCUGCCCGGUGCCGGAAGGUUAAUUGAUGGGGUCAGCGCAAGCGAAGCUCCUGAUCGAAGCCCCGGUAAACGGCGGCCGUAACUAUAACGGUCCUAAGGUAGCGAAAUUCCUUGUCGGGUAAGUUCCGACCUGCACGAAUGGCGUAAUGAUGGCCAGGCUGUCUCCACCCGAGACUCAGUGAAAUUGAACUCGCUGUGAAGAUGCAGUGUACCCGCGGCAAGACGGAAAGACCCCGUGAACCUUUACUAUAGCUUGACACUGAACAUUGAGCCUUGAUGUGUAGGAUAGGUGGGAGGCUUUGAAGUGUGGACGCCAGUCUGCAUGGAGCCGACCUUGAAAUACCACCCUUUAAUGUUUGAUGUUCUAACGUGGACCCGUGAUCCGGGUUGCGGACAGUGUCUGGUGGGUAGUUUGACUGGGGCGGUCUCCUCCUAAAGAGUAACGGAGGAGCACGAAGGUUGGCUAAUCCUGGUCGGACAUCAGGAGGUUAGUGCAAUGGCAUAAGCCAGCUUGACUGCGAGCGUGACGGCGCGAGCAGGUGCGAAAGCAGGUCAUAGUGAUCCGGUGGUUCUGAAUGGAAGGGCCAUCGCUCAACGGAUAAAAGGUACUCCGGGGAUAACAGGCUGAUACCGCCCAAGAGUUCAUAUCGACGGCGGUGUUUGGCACCUCGAUGUCGGCUCAUCACAUCCUGGGGCUGAAGUAGGUCCCAAGGGUAUGGCUGUUCGCCAUUUAAAGUGGUACGCGAGCUGGGUUUAGAACGUCGUGAGACAGUUCGGUCCCUAUCUGCCGUGGGCGCUGGAGAACUGAGGGGGGCUGCUCCUAGUACGAGAGGACCGGAGUGGACGCAUCACUGGUGUUCGGGUUGUCAUGCCAAUGGCACUGCCCGGUAGCUAAAUGCGGAAGAGAUAAGUGCUGAAAGCAUCUAAGCACGAAACUUGCCCCGAGAUGA
rnacentral:rRNA from 1 species